rnacentral:lncRNA from 1 species
UGCCCUCUCAUCCCGAACCCACAGCUCGCUCCUUGUCCCGCGGAGAUACCUCUACCCUUUCUCUUCGCCCUCUUUCUCGAACCAGGCUGGGGUCCGAGGUUAUCGAGCCGGAAUCUCUCUGAACUUACUGCUCCCGGCGAAGAAGAGGUAGCAGCUGCGGUUUGGUUCAGGACAACGAGAGGUCUCGCGAUUUUCUGUUGCUUUCCAAUUCUACGAUUGUAGUGGAGUUUUAGGGAGAGGAUCUGAGAUGGGUUUGCUCCUAAGACGCUUACAUUGCCCUUGAAUGAAGAGGAAGGGAAGGAGAGACGGUGACAUUGGCGGGAGAGG